AUGUUAUGGGAUGUUAUAGGAUCUAUUGGGAUAUUAUGGGAUGUUAUAGGAUCUAUUGGGAUCUAUUGGGAUAUUAUGGGAUGUUAUAGGAUCUAUUGGGAUAUUAUAGGAUGUAUUGGGAUAUUAUGGGAUGUUAUAGGACGCCACCACGACCACGUGACCCACACGUCACACUGUCCCCUCCCCCUCCCCCCCCCCCCCCCAUCGCCCUUCGCCCCCCGCUUUGAUGCGAUAAUGGCGCUGCAAUGGCCGCUAAUGGGGACCCCAUUACUGACCCCAUUACUGACCCUAUUACCGGCCCUAUUACCGGCCCUGUUACUGGCCCCAUUGCUGUCGUGGUUAUGGGGCGCAGUGGCGGCUGUGACCCGAUUUAGGGCCACCUGUAGGAAGCUGAGGAACUUCCCGGUGCCCCCAUGGAGGAACUGGNNNNNNNNNNNNNNNNNNNNNNNNNACUUAUGGGGUGGGGGAAGUUAUGGGGUGAUGGAGGCACUUAUGGGGUGGGGGCACUUAUGGGGUCGUGGGUGGCACUUAUGGGGUGGGAGAACUUAUGGGGCAAUGGAGGGGACCGAGUUGUGGCACUUAUGGGGUGAUGACACUUAUGGGGUGGGGGAACUUAUGGGGUGGUCACACUUAUGGGGUGGGGACACUUAUGGGGUGGGGGAACUUGUGGGGCAGGGGAACUUAUGGGGUUGGGGCACUUAUAGUGUGGGUGGUACUUAUGGGGUGGACACACUUAUGGGGUGGUGGCACUCAUGGGGUGGGGGCACUUAUGGGGCGGUGGGUAGCACUUAUGGGGUGGUCACACUUAUGGGGUGGAGGCACUUACGGGGUGAGGACACAUGGGGUGAUGGCACUUGUGGGGCAAUGGCACUUAUGGGUCACUGUCACUUAUGGGUCACUGUCACUUAUGGGUCAGUAUCACUUAUGGGUCACUAUCACUUGUGGGUCAGUAUCACUUAUGGGUCACUAUCACUUAUGGGUCCCUGUCACUUAUGGGUCCCUGUCACUUGUGGGUCCCUGUCCCUUAUGGGUCCCUGUCACUUGUGGGUCAGG
rnacentral:lncRNA from 1 species